UGAGGAAUAUUGGUCAAUGGGCGGAAGCCUGAACCAGCCAUGCCGCGUGAAGGAAUAAGGCCCUAUGGGUCGUAAACUUCUUUUGUGGUGGAGCAAUAAGGAUCACGAGUGGUCCGAUGAGAUUACAUCACGAAUAAGCAUCGGCUAACUCCGUGCCAGCAGCCGCGGUAAUACGGAGGAUGCAAGCGUUAUCCGGAUUUAUUGGGUUUAAAGGGUGCGUAGGCGGCGGUGCAAGUCAGCGGUAAAAGCCCGGGGCUCAACCCCGGCGAGCCGUUGAAACUGCAGUGCUAGAGAAGGCGAGAGGUACGCGGAAUGCGCAGUGUAGCGGUGAAAUGCUUAGAUAUUGCGCAGAACUCCGAUUGCGAAGGCAGCGUACUGGCGCCUGACUGACGCUGAGGCACGAAAGCGUGGGGAUCGAACAGGGAUUAGAUACCCUGGUAGU
rnacentral:rRNA from 1 species